CAGCCAUGUUCGUGUGCCGUCCUUCCCAGCUCACAGUCCUCUGACUCUGCGUCUGUCGUCAAAAGUGAAAGUAGAACCUUCACUGUGAGCUGGUGCUGCGUUGGAGACACACAUCCAGAAGACAGUGCUGUUGACCGCUGGAGGACUGAACUGCACUUUCUGACACAGAGCUGGACUUUAACUGCACCGCUGUUUCUUUUGCAGUGAUGUGGACUCACAGUGAAGGUGGGGCUGAUCCUGAGCUCCGGCUUCUGCUGGUGGGGAAAACAGGUGCUGGAUCGAGUUCAGCUGGAAAUACUAUUUUGGGUAGAGAUGCAUUUCGCUCUGGUCCCAGCAUGUCUUCAUUGACAAACACAUGCAUCAAACAAAGUAGCACUGUCGCUAACAGGACAGUUAGUGUGGUUGACAGCCCUAAUUUCUAUAAUUUGAAGCUAUCGAGGAAAGAUCUGAGAGUGGAAAUUGAGAAAGGAGUGAAAUGGUCUUCUCCAGGGCUGCAUGCCCUCCUUUUCAUUCUCACACUGGACACUUUCACUGAGCAAGAAGCAGACAUUGUGUCACUGUUUAAGCAGACAUUCGGUGAGGAAGCUCUGAGAUACACGGUUAUCGUGUUCACACAUGGAGACAAGCAACGUGAUUCUCCGAUUGAGGAACAGAUUAGAAAAAAACAGAAGACUAUCAAAUCUAGUAGAUGAAUGUGGUGGACGAUACCAUGUACUGAACAAUAAAGAUCCAGCAAACAGACUCCAUGGUGGCUGCUAAUGGGAACAGCUGCUAUACGCUGGAGAUGUUCCACCAUGCUGACUCAGUCAUGGCAUGGUUAAAAAGAACUACACUGGGGAUUCAGUCACAAAAGAAGUGUAUCUAUCUAAUCAGUGCAGUAAGUAUAUUCAUGGGAGGCAUUAAUGUACAGAACAAAAGCUCUGUAGAUGUUAUAACUUUUAGUCGUGGAUUCCUAACAGGGUUUUCAGCAGCAGUAGUUGGUGCUCUUUUAGCAAAAGCCUGGAAACAUAAGAACUGGCAUCAAAGUACAGUGAAAAUACUGCAGAUCUCAUGUGGUUUUGUUGCUGGUGUGAUCAUAGGGAAGUAUACAGGUCUGGGGGGAGCCCUGACUGUAUGUCACUGUUUUGGUAGAGUUUAGUCAUGCCCAUACUCUUUAGGAGGGUAUAUACCACAUGAUGGUACUUAUAGCAUACUGGAUUCUGUACAGCAUAAUGAUAUGAGGAGUAAGCACAGUACCAGUACAGUAAACAGUGUGUUGUUUCAAA